UCAAAUAUUAGUCCACCAUCUCAAAGAUAUCAAAUUCGUCAAAUUAUUUAAUUUUGAAAAUAGAAAUUCGACCGUUGUUAUCUCCAUUCAAAUUCCCACUCGGCCACAGUUAGAUUUGGUCUCAUAGAACCCUAAACACUAAUUUCCCCCAAUUCCAUCAACUUCUAGCGAUCUGAGAGUCUUCACAACGAUGCAAGAUUUUUUCGGAUCUGUUCGUCGAUCCUUGGUAUUUCUUGCUCCCGACGGUGACGACGGUGGGAGGUUCGGUGGCCUUGUAGGGAAGAUCGGCUCCAGCAUCCGUAAAUCUCGUAAUGGACUGUUUUCUAAGCAGUCACUGCGGGCUCUGCCUCCGGUUGCAAAGGAAGAUGCGCCUCCGAUUUGGUGGCGGAAGGGAGAGUUGAUCGGAUGUGGUGCUUUUGGUAGAGUUUAUAUGGGGAUGAAUCUCGAUUCUGGAGAGCUUCUUGCAGUCAAACAAGUCUCAAUUGCGGCUAAUAGUGCUUCAAGGGAGAAAGCCCAAGCUCACAUACGGGAGCUGGAGGAGGAAGUGAGGCUUUUGAAGAAUCUUUCUCACCCCAAUAUUGUGAGAUAUCUGGGAACUGCUAGAGAGGAAGAUUCAUUAAAUAUUCUAUUGGAGUUUGUUCCUGGAGGAUCAAUAUCAUCUCUGUUAGGGAAAUUUGGGUCUUUUCCUGAGUCUGUUAUAAAAACCUACACGAAGCAGCUAUUAUUGGGGCUUGAGUACCUUCAUAAGAACGGCAUCAUGCAUAGGGAUAUAAAGGGUGCAAAUAUUCUUGUAGACAAUAAGGGGUGUAUUAAACUUGCAGAUUUUGGUGCAUCCAAGAAAGUUGUUGAGCUGGCAACUAUAAAUGGAGCCAAAUCAAUGAAGGGUACUCCAUAUUGGAUGGCUCCUGAAGUUAUUCUCCAGACUGGACAUAGCUUCUCUGCGGAUAUAUGGAGUGUGGGGUGUACUGUUAUUGAAAUGGCAACAGGGAAACCUCCAUGGAGCCAACAGUAUCAAGAGGUUGCUGCUCUUUUCCAUAUAGGGAAUACUAAGUCCCAUCCGCCCAUUCCUGAGCAUCUAUCUGCUGAGGCUAAAGAUUUUCUGUUAAAAUGUCUACAAGAGGAACCAAACUCAAGGCCUACUGCAUCAGACUUGCUGCAGCAUCCAUUUGUCUUAUGUGAGUAUCAAGAACCUGUUGCAGCAGUCUGUGCCUCUUUUGCGGAAUCUGGGAAACAGGUUGCUGAUUCUAGGCUGAACUCUAAUGAUCUUAAGAAGUCUACAAUCCAACGUUCAACCUGUGAGGGCUUGAAAAAUAUUUGUGAAAUGGGUAGCUUGAGGUGCUCUUCUGUAUUUUCUGGGAACUAUGGGUCACGGUCCAACUGGGGCUCGAGCAAUUUUGAGGAUGAUAUGUGCCAGAUAGAUGAUAAAGAUCUAUUUGUUAGUUCAUCAAUGAAGUAUAAAUCUAUUAUAUCAUCAACUGAUUUGAAUAAGAGUUUCAAUCCUAUGAGUGAACCCACUGAUGACUUGGAUGAGAGCUCAGAGUUGGGAGGGAAUUUAAUGGAAUUGUCUGGCGUUCAAACUGGAAAGGGGAGUGACUUCACUUUUCCUUGUGGUCAAUCAGCAGCUGAGGAUGACGAAGAGGUUACGGAAUCAAAGAUUAAAGCCUUCCUGGAUGAAAAGGCUCUAGAACUGAAGAAGCUGCAAACACCUUUAUACGAAGAGUUCCGCAGCACAGUUAAUGCAGCUAAUGCCUUGGGAACAGUUGGAAUUGAGAAUAUCAAGAGUGUAUCUAAUUUUUUGAAAUUGCCUCCCAAAUGUGGGUCACCAAGUAAACUGCGUGGUAAAAGACUCUCAUCAACUGAUGCUGGUAACUGUUCCAGCCGUCAGAGCCGUAUAAAACAAGCUAGCAUAUUGCAAGAUCGAGCUCUUCAGGAAAUUCAGUCCCCGCAACUUGGGGAAUGGAACAAAUUACUUCAAACCCAGCCAGACUCUUCAACACCAAGUUUCUCUGAAAGACAAAGGAAAUGGAAAGAAGAGCUUGAGGAAGAACUUAAAAGGAAACGAGUGCCAUAUCAUGAGUUGACUAGGAUUAAGGAUGAGACACAUGUGUCUUCUCGGUUAACACUUAGCUCGGUAAGCCAUACCUGAUAUUUGUAUGUUUUUCUUCUUGACAUGUGUAUGUGUAUCAGUGCCAUAUCAUGAGUUGACUAGGAUUAAGGAUGAGACACAUGUGUCUUCUCGGUUAACACUUAGCUCAAAAUGAUGCGGAGAGGAAUUGUAGGAGCAAUUCACUAACAUCAUCAUAUCUUCCAGAGUAAAAACAACAGAAAUCUCGGUGAAUCUCACUCUCACAUCCCCUGGCAGUAAAAUGCUGUGUAGCCUAUUGUACUAUGCAGGGGAUACAAGUGCCUUCUCAUCGUUGCAAUUGUUAGUAAUGUAUGUACACUCUUCACCAGCAAUGUUCAGAAAAGGUGGGUGCGGUUCAUGGUCUCUCAGCACAUAGCAAUCUCACAGGGAAGUCCAAGCAUUUCAACUGGAAAAACCUGAUAAGUUAUAUAUAUUUACACUUCUUUCGUUUGAUUAUUAAUAUUUGCAUCCUCCUCCCCAUCUCACCAGCUUUUCUACAUUCCUCACCCCACGACACCCGGUUAUGGUGGUUCCUGUUAUCUUCUAUGUUAUUGGUGAAAAUUUGUGGCUUGGAGAGUCUUUUACUUGAUGUUCCAAGUGUGACAAAGAAAUAGAGUUUCUUAAAAACAUGUAUUGUAAGUGCCUUCUGUCUAUUGUCUCAAUGAUAGAUUAUCUCCCCUUUUACCAAAAAAGAAAAGAAAAAAGAAUUAAUUUACCAAACUGACAGAAGUUUCAGGUUCGAAUAUUGGUUUCAACUUUAAAUUUUGAUUCCCUAAGCAGUUCAAUAAACUUGUUGAAUAUUUUUUGGUUACAAAUGUCAUCUAGAGAUUGGUGGGGGCUGAUUUUGAUUGUGAAGAAUCAGACUCUUUCCCUGUGAAAGAAAAUUGCUCUUAUUUUGCUGGUGUUCUUUUG